rnacentral:rRNA from 1 species
GUGGGGAAUAUUGGACAAUGGGGGGAACCCUGAUCCAGCCAUGCCGCGUGUGUGAAGAAGGCCUUUUGGUUGUAAAGCACUUUAAGCGAGGAGGAGGCUACCGAGAUUAAUACUCUUGGAUAGUGGACGUUACUCGCAGAAUAAGCACCGGCUAACUCUGUGCCAGCAGCCGCGGUAAUACAGAGGGGGCAAGCGUUAAUCGGAUUUACUGGGCGUAAAGCGCGCGUAGGUGGCCAAUUAAGUCAAAUGUGAAAUCCCCGAGCUUAACUUGGGAGUUGCAUUCGAUACUGGUUGGCUAGAGUAUGGGAGAGGAUGGUAGAAUUCCAGGUGUAGCGGUGAAAUGCGUAGAGAUCUGGAGGAAUACCGAUGGCGAAGGCAGCCAUCUGGCCUAAUACUGACCCUGAGGUGCGAAAGCAUGGGGAGCAAACAGGAUUAGAAACCCUUGUAGUCC